UGGAGACCCGUAUGAAUGGCUCCACGAGGGCUUAGCUGUCUCCCCCUCCCAGUCAAUGAAAUUGAUCUCCCCGUGCAGAAGCGGGGAUAAUAACAUAAGACGAGAAGACCCUAUGGAGCUUAAGGCGCCAGGGCAGCUCACGUUAAACACCCCUAGUUAAAGGAAUGAACCAAGUGAACCCUGCCCCAGUGUUUUUGGUUGGGGCGACCGCGGGGAAAUACAAAACCCCCAUGUGGACCAGGAACACUACAUGUUCCCAAACCCGAGAGCUACCGCUCUAAUAAACAGAACUUCUGACCAGCUAAGAUCCGGCAGUGCCGAUCAACGGAACGAGUUACCCUAGGGAUAACAGCGCAAUCCUCUUAAAGAGUCCUUAUCGACAAGGGGGUUUACGACCUCGAUGUUGGAUCAGGACAUCCUAAUGGUGCAGCCGCUAUUAAGGGUUCGUUUGUUCAACGAUUAAAGUCCU
rnacentral:rRNA from 1 species